UACGUAGGGACCGAGCGUUGUCCGGAUUCAUUGGGCGUAAAGAGCUCGUAGGCGGCCACUCAAGUCGAAUGUGAAACCUCGAGGCUUAACCUCGAGCCUGCAUUCGAUACUGGGCGGCUAGAGUCUGGUAGGGGGAUCUGGAAUUCCUGGUGUAGCGGUGGAAUGCACAGAUAUCAGGAGGAACACCGGUGGCGAAGGCGGGAUCCUGGGCCAGUACUGACGCCGAGGAGCGAAAGCGUGGGGAGCAAACAGG
rnacentral:rRNA from 1 species